GGAGUACGGCCGCAAGGCUGAAACUCAAAGGAAUUGACGGGGGCCCGCACAAGCGGUGGAGCAUGUGGUUUAAUUGGAAGCAACGCGAAGACCCUUACCAGGUCUUGACAUCCUCUGAAAACCCUAGAGAUAGGGCUUCUCCUUCGGGAGCAGAGUGACAGGUGGUGCAUGGUUGUCGUCAGCUCGUGUCGUGAGAUGUUGGGUUAAGUCCCGCAACGAGCGCAACCCUUGAUCUUAGUUGCCAUCAUUAAGUUGGGCACUCUAAGGUGACUGCCGGUGACAAACCGGAGGAAGGUGGGGAUGACGUCAAAUCAUCAUGCCCCUUAUGACCUGGGCUACACACGUGCUACAAUGGACGGUACAAAGAGCUGCAAGACCGCGAGGUGGAGCUAAUCUCAUAAAACCGUUUUCAGUUCGGAUUGUAGGCUGCAACUCGCCUACAUGAAGCUGGAAUCGCUAGUAAUCGCGGAUCAGCAUGCCGCGGUGAAUACGUUCCCGGGCCUUGUACACCCCGCCCGUCACCCCCCGAGAGUUUGUAACACCCGAAGUCGGUGGGGUAACCUUUUUGGAGCCAGCCGCCUAAGGUGGGACAG
rnacentral:rRNA from 1 species